CCUACGGGUGGCUGCAGUGGGGAAUAUUGCACAAUGGGCGCAAGCCUGAUGCAGCCAUGCCGCGUGUGUGAAGAAGGCCUUCGGGUUGUAAAGCACUUUCAGCGGGGAGGAAGGCGGUGAGGUUAAUAACCUCAUCGAUUGACGCUACCCGCAGAAGAAGCACCGGCUAACUCCGUGCCAGCAGCCGCGGUAAUACGGAGGGUGCAAGCGUUAAUCGGAAUUACUGGGCGUAAAGCGCACGCAGGCGGUCUGUCAAGUCGGAUGUGAAAUCCCCGGGCUCAACCUGGGAACUGCAUUCGAAACUGGCAGGCUAGAGUCUUGUAGAGGGGGGUAGAAUUCCAGGUGUAGCGGUGAAAUGCGUAGAGAUCUGGAGGAAUACCGGUGGCGUAGGCGGCCCCCUGGACAAAGACUGACGCUCAGGUGCGAAAGCGUGGGGAGCAAACAGGAUUAGAUACCCUUGUAGUC
rnacentral:rRNA from 1 species